GAAGAUUGUUCAUAAGAAGCGAUGAACUUGAUGCUGCAUGGGCUCUAUUUACACCGUUGUUAAAGGAGCUGGAAGAGAAGAAGAUCGCACCAGAGCUUUAUCCAUACGGAAGUAGGGGGCCAGUGGGAGCACAUUAUCUAGCUGCAAAGCACAACGUUCGUUGGGGAGAUUUAUCUGGUGAUGAUUGAUUGUAUGUGAGAUCUUCUUGAGGAGUUCAUUUAGUUUAUAGGAAUUGAUCAGCUCAUCAAGAAUGCUGAAAUUAUGGACAACUUGGAACUGUUGUUAGCAAUUAUUGUAUAGCUUGUCUAUUUUGUUUAAGAAUACACUCAUGUUUCAUGUUAAA
rnacentral:misc_RNA from 1 species